rnacentral:rRNA from 1 species
GGGUUGUGAGGUUAAGCGACUAAGCGUACACGGUGGAUGCCCUGGCAGUCAGAGGCGAUGAAGGGCGUGCUAAUCUGCGAUAAGCGCCGGUAAGGUGAUAUGAACCGUUAUAACCGGCGAUACCCGAAUGGGGAAACCCAGUGUGACUCGUCACACUAUCAUUAACUGAAUCCAUAGGUUAAUGAGGCGAACCGGGGGAACUGAAACAUCUAAGUACCCCGAGGAAAAGAAAUCAACCGAGAUUCCCCCAGUAGCGGCGAGCGAACGGGGAGGAGCCCAGAGCCUGAAUCAGCAUGUGUGUUAGUGGAAGCGUCUGGAAAGGCGCGCGAUACAGGGUGACAGCCCCGUACACAAAAGCGCAUGUGCUGUGAGCUCGAUGAGUAGGGCGGGACACGUGGUAUCCUGUCUGAAUAUGGGGGGACCAUCCUCCAAGGCUAAAUACUCCUGACUGACCGAUAGUGAACCAGUACCGUGAGGGAAAGGCGAAAAGAACCCCGGCGAGGGGAGUGAAAAAGAACCUGAAACCGUGUACGUACAAGCAGUGGGAGCACCCUUUGGGUGUGACUGCGUACCUUUUGUAUAAUGGGUCAGCGACUUAUAUUCUGUAGCAAGGUUAACCGAAUAGGGGAGCCGGAGGGAAACCGAGUCUUAACCGGGCGUUAAGUUGCAGGGUAUAGACCCGAAACCCGGUGAUCUAGCCAUGGGCAGGUUGAAGGUUGGGUAACACUAACUGGAGGACCGAACCGACUAAUGUUGAAAAAUUAGCGGAUGACCUGUGGCUGGGGGUGAAAGGCCAAUCAAACCGGGAGAUAGCUGGUUCUCCCCGAAAGCUAUUUAGGUAGCGCCUCGUGAAUUCAUCUCCGGGGGUAGAGCACUGUUUCGGCUAGGGGGCCAUCCCGGCUUACCAACCCGAUGCAAACUGCGAAUACCGGAGAAUGUUAUCACGGGAGACACACGGCGGGUGCUAACGUCCGUCGUGAAGAGGGAAACAACCCAGACCGCCAGCUAAGGUCCCAAAGUCAUGGUUAAGUGGGAAACGAUGUGGGAAGGCCCAGACAGCCAGGAUGUUGGCUUAGAAGCAGCCAUCAUUUAAAGAAAGCGUAAUAGCUCACUGGUCGAGUCGGCCUGCGCGGAAGAUGUAACGGGGCUAAACCAUGCACCGAAGCUGCGGCAGCGACACUGUGUGUUGUUGGGU